AGAGUUUGAUCCUGGCUCAGAUUGAACGCUGGCGGCAGGCCUAACACAUGCAAGUCGAGCGGAAACGAGAAUAGCUUGCUAUUCGGCGUCGAGCGGCGGACGGGGGAGUAACGCGUGGGAAUCUGCCCACUAGUGGGGGACAACCCGAGGAAACUCGGGCUAAUACCGCAUGUGCCCUACGGGGUAAAGGGGGGGAUCUUAGGACCUUGCGCUAUUAGAUGAGCCUGCGUGGGAUUAGCUAGUUGGUGAGGUAAAGGCUCACCAAGGCGACGAUCCCUAGCUGGUUUGAGAGGAUGAUCAGCCACACUGGAACUGAGACACGGUCCAGACUCCUACGGGAGGCAGCAGUGGGGAAUAUUGCACAAUGGGCGCAAGCCUGAUGCAGCCAUGCCGCGUGUAUGAAGAAGGCCUUCGGGUUGUAAAGUACUUUCAGCGAGGAGGAAAGGUAGCAGUUUAUAGCCAAUGGGGGUUGACGGUAGCUCCAAAGGAAGCACCGGCUAACUCUGUGCCAGCAGCCGCGGUAAGACAGAGGGUGCAAACGUUGCUCGGAAUUACUGGGCGUAAAGCGCGUGUAGGCGGAUUGUUAAGUCAGAUGUGAAAUCCCUGGGCUCAACCCGGGAACUGCAUUUGAAACUGGCAGUCUAGAGUGAGGGAGAGGAAAGUGGAAUUUCGAGUGUAGGGGUGAAAUCCGUAGAUAUUCGAAGGAACACCAGUGGCGAAGGCGGCUUUCUGGACCGAUACUGACGCUGAGACGCGAAAGCGUGGGGAGCAAACAGGAUUAGAUCCCCUGGUAGCCCACGCCGUAAACGAUGGGUACUAGGUGUUGCGGGUAUUGACCCCUGCAGUGCCAAAGCUAACGCAUUAAGUAACCCGCCUGGGGAGUACGGCCGCAAGGCUAAAACUCAAAUGAAUUGACGGGGGCCCGCACAAGCGGUGGAGCAUGUGGUUUAAUUCGAUGCAACGCGAAGAACCUUACCAGGUCUUGACAUCCCUGAAACUUUCUAGAGAUAGAUUGGUGCCUUCGGGAAUCAGGUGACAGGUGCUGCAUGGCUGUCGUCAGCUCGUGUCGUGAGAUGUUGGGUUAAGUCCCGUAACGAGCGCAACCCUUGUCCUUAUUUGCCAGCGUUCGGUCGGGAACUCUAGGGAGACUGCCGGUGACAAACCGGAGGAAGGUGGGGAUGACGUCAAGUCAUCAUGGCCCUUAUGGGCAGGGCUACACACGUGCUACAAUGGCUGGUACAAAGGGUCGCAAACCCGCGAGGGGGAGCCAAUCCCACAAACCCCGCCGUAGUUCGGAUCGGAGUCUGCAACUCGACUCCGUGAAGUCGGAAUCGCUAGUAAUCGCAGAUCAGCACGCUGCGGUGAAUACGUUCCCGGGCCUUGUACACACCGCCCGUAACACCAUGGGAGUGGGCUGCAAAAGAAGUAGGUAGCUUAACCUUCGGGAGGGCGCUUACCACUUUGUGGUUCAUGACUGGGGUGAAGUCGUAACAAGGUAGCC
rnacentral:rRNA from 1 species